AUUGAACGCUGGCGGAAUGCUUUACACAUGCAAGUCGAACGGCAGCACGGACUUCGGUCUGGUGGCGAGUGGCGAACGGGUGAGUAAUGUAUCGGAACGUGCCCAGUCGUGGGGGAUAACGUAGUGAAAAUUACGCUAAUACCGCAUACGAUCUAUGGAUGAAAGCGGGGGAUCGCAAGACCUCGCGCGAUUGGAGCGGCCGAUAUCAGAUUAGGUAGUUGGUGGGGUAAAGGCCCACCAAGCCAACGAUCUGUAGCUGGUCUGAGAGGACGACAAGCCACACUGGUGCUGAUACACGGUCCAGACUCCUACGGUAGGAAGCAGUGGGGAAUUUUGGACAAUGGGCGAAAGCCUGAUCCAGCCAUUCCGCGUGCAGGAUGAUGGCCCUCGGGUUGUAAACUGGUUUUGUACAGAACGAAAAGGUUGCUACUAAUACUAGGAGCUCAUGACGGUACUGUAAGAAUAAGCACCGGCUAACUACGUGCCAGCCGCCGCCGUAA
rnacentral:rRNA from 1 species